rnacentral:rRNA from 1 species
AGAGUUUGAUCCUGGCUCAGAUUGAACGCUGGCGGUAUGCUUAACACAUGCAAGUCGAACGGUAACAGCAUCUAGCUUGCUAGAUGGCUGACGAGUGGCGGACGGGUGAGUAACGCGUAGGAAUCUGUCCAGAAGAUUGGGACAACACGAGGAAACUCGUGCUAAUACCGGAUAUGCUCUACGGAGUAAAGGCGGGAUUUAUCCUGUCGCUUUUGGGUGAGCCUGCGUUGGAUUAGCUUGUUGGUGGGGUAAUGGCCUACCAAGGCGACGAUCCAUAGCUGUUCUGAGAGGAAGAUCAGCCACACUGGGACUGAGACACGGCCCAGACUCCUACGGGAGGCAGCAGUGGGGAAUAUUGGACAAUGGGCGCAAGCCUGAUCCAGCAAUACCGCGUGUGUGAAGAAGGCCUGAGGGUUGUAAAGCACUUUCAGCGAGGAGGAAGUUAAUACGGUUAAUACCCGUAUUGAUUGACGUUACUCGCAGAAGAAGCACCGGCUAACUCUGUGCCAGCAGCCGCGGUAAUACAGAGGGUGCAAGCGUUAAUCGGAAUUACUGGGCGUAAAGCGUGCGUAGGCGGAUGCUUAAGUCAGAUGUGAAAGCCCCGGGCUCAACCUGGGAAUUGCAUCUGAAACUGGGCGUCUAGAGUAUGGUAGAGGAUGGCGGAAUUUCCGGUGUAGCGGUGAAAUGCGUAGAUAUCGG